UCAAGUUGCUAUCUUCAUUAUUGCAAUUAUAGUUAUGGCCAAAUGUUAAAGUUUGUGCAAAUCAACAAACCAACAAACCAACAGACAGGGCAAAAACAAUACAUGUAUGUCCCCCAGUAUAGACUGGGGGACAUAAACAUUGUUAUUGCUGAUAUUUCAAUUCACCUUUAAUUUAUUUUAUUUUUUGCUAAUUUUGCUCUUCUUUAAUUGUUAUUUCAUUAAAGUUUUAUAAAUAACAAGAUUUGGUGGUUUUCAUCCUUUUAAAUAUUUAACACAAUACUAUUUUAAUUAUAUAUUUAUGUUAUCAAAAUGAAUCAAGUUUCUAUGCAUGAUAAACUAUAAUAGAAAUGUAUAGUAGUUUAAAUUUCUAAAACACAUUUUCCCAGUCUCAAACUCCAUGAAAUGAUACAUAAAUGACAAUGUUUGUUUAAUCAGAUAAACACUGACCCUCAGCUGACCUGGACCUGGUUUUCUGCAGCCCCAAUAUUCCCUGACAAUGCUGAGCCCUCAUACAAGAACCUGAUUAUAAAACCAUCUGGUUAACAGGCUUUGGAUUGGUUACUAGUAAUUCACAGGAAGUUGUUUACAUGUAUUUGAAUCAAGAGCGUUUAAACAACUGACUGACCUAAAUUGUAGGUAUAAUUCCAAGCAACAUGAGGACUUAACAUUGUAGUGUAGAAAAUACCAUGCAAUUCUGAUAGCAAGGGAGUAUUGUGUGAAAAAACAAUGUGUAAUUAAUACAGUGUGGAAAUGAACAAUAAGUUUGUUUCAAAAGAGGUUCAAAGUGGCUGGUUACUGUGUUUUGGUCUCUGAGGAUUCUUCACUGUGUUUUUGGAAUACUACAGAACAGCAUAAAGAUUAUAUCAUAGGAUGGGGGGAAAAAAGGAGACUGCAACAGCUGAGCAGCACAAAAGCAGACAGUGUACAAACCAACACCAGUACAGCUUACAUACGGUGUAGUGGAAGCCAACAAAAUAAACAUGAAGUCUCCAGCUAAUGGCUUGAGUUGGACCACUGUGAUCAAAGUCUGCAAGGGACUUAUCAUUGGGAGGAAUGUGAAAGGAGAUCUGGUCUUAAAAAGGUUCACCUUCAUCCAGAACACGAAGUGUACAUUACUCAGGGGCAACUUUCACAAGAACGGCAUGCUGGAGCCAUUAAAAUCCACAAAAGUUAACAAUUGCUCUGCUGGAUGUCCUUUUCAGCAGGGAACA